GAUGAAGAACGUAGCGAAAUGCGAUACGUAAUGUGAAUUGCAGAAUUCAGUGAAUCAUCGAAUCUUUGAACGCAUAUUGCGCUCUCUGGUAUUCCGGAGAGCAUGCUUGUUUGAGUAUCAGUAAACACCUCAACUUCCAUAUCUUUUUUGAAAUGGGAGUUGGACUUGAGUGAUCCCAACGCUUUUCCUCACCGAAAAGUGGCGGGUGACUUGAAAUGCAGGUGCAGCUGGACUUUUCUCUGAGCUAUAAGCAUAUCUAUUUAGUCUGCCUAAAAAACAGAUUAUUACCUUUGCUGCAGCUAACAUAAAGGAGAUUAGUUCUUGUGCUGACUGAUGCAGGAUUCACAAAGACGGCUUCGGCCGACUUUGUAAACUCGAUCUCAAAUCAAGUAAGACUACCCGCUGAACUUAAGCAUAUCAAUAAGCGGAGGA
rnacentral:misc_RNA from 1 species